rnacentral:rRNA from 1 species
UACGUAGGGUGCAAGCGUUAUCCGGAAUUAUUGGGCGUAAAGAGCUCGUAGGCGGUUUGUCGCGUCUGCUGUGAAAACUGGAGGCUCAACCUCCAGCCUGCAGUGGGUACGGGCAGACUAGAGUGCGGUAGGGGAGAUUGGAAUUCCUGGUGUAGCGGUGGAAUGCGCAGAUAUCAGGAGGAACACCGGUGGCGAAGGCGGCAUCCUGGACCGACAUUGACGCUGAUGAGCGAAAGCUAGGGGAGCAAACGGG